rnacentral:misc_RNA from 1 species
UCAACCAUCAAGCCUGGCUUGUCGUUGGACCCGUUUGCAGCUGAAAUAUGCGGCAGGUCCGAAAGAUAAUGACGGCGUCGUGGUUGACCCUAAAUGCAACGAGCUUUUUAUAGCACGCAUUGAAGUGGUUGACCGACCCGGUCUUUAACCAUCAUUUUUCUAA